rnacentral:tRNA from 1 species
CAGGUGCGCAUAGUUUAACUAAAA